GUGAUACUGGGGUGAUAUUGCGGCAAUACUGGGGUGAUAUUGAGGCGAUAUUGAGGAGAUACUGGGGUGAUAUUGAAGUGAUACUGGGGUGAUAUUGAGGCGAUACUGGGGUGAUAUUGAGGCGAUUCUGGGGUGAUUCUGAGGCAAUAUUGAGGUGAUACUGGGGUGAUAUUGAGGCGAUACUGGGGUAAUAUUGAGGCGAUACUGGAAUGAUAUUGAGGUGAUACUGGGGUGAUAUUGAGGUGAUACUGGGGUGAUACUGGUGUGAUAUUGAGGUGAUACUGGGGUGAUAUUGAGGUGAUACUGGAAUGAUAUUGAGGUGAUACUGGGGUGAUAUUGAGGUGAUACUGGGGUGAUAUUGAGGUGAUACUGGGGUGAUAUUGAGGUGAUAUUGAUAUUGAGGUGAUACUGGGGUGAUAUUGAGGUGAUACUGGGGUGAUAUUGCGGCGAUACUGGGGUGAUAUUGAGGCGAUAUUGAGGAGAUACUGGGGUGAUAUUGAAGUGAUACUGGGGUGAUAUUGAGGCGAUACUGGGGUGAUAUUGAGGCGAUUCUGGGGUGAUUCUGAGGCAAUAUUGAGGUGAUACUGGGGUGAUAUUGAGGCGAUACUGGGGUAAUAUUGAGGCGAUACUGGAAUGAUAUUGAGGUGAUACUGGGGUGAUAUUGAGGUGAUACUGGGGAGAUAUUGAGGUGAUACUGGAAUGAUAUUGAGGUGUUACUGGGGUGAUAUUGAGGUGAUACUGGGGUGAUAUUGAGGUGAUACUGG
rnacentral:lncRNA from 1 species